UUUUAGAUGACAACUUUGAAUUGUAAAAAAUGCAGGGCAGAAGUGCUUCGUGUCACAGGUGUAACAUCAUUUGAGUUUUUUGUGCGCUGCGCCCAUUGCGCCGUUCGUUCGUCAUCUUCGUUCCGUUCUGAGAGUCUCUCCCCCAAAUUUUUCCUUCGGGGCGGCAAGGUGAAGAGGCAGCUUUAAGACCCAGAGGCAGCGGCAGGAGCUUGCGGAGGCCACCGCUGCCGCCGUCUAGGGUUCAAGCUGGCAGAUCGUGCCACCGGCACCGCCAGCCAAGUUCGCCCGCGGCGAGGACAAGCAACGACUGUAUCCUGUGUCGGCGUUCCGCGUCAAAGAGAGAGCAGGUUAAGGACUCAGAAGUCAGUACUGGCAGAUUGAAAGUUGUUUUCAUGCCACGUGUUUCUCGAUUAUAUUAGUCAAAGAAUUAUUUUAUAAGCCCAAGCCGCCGGAAAUGGCUAAGUCAAACUCGAACGGGAAAGGGAUAAAUCCAAUACAAACUUUUUUGAAAAGGUAUGGCGAACAAUUCUCAGGCAGAACCUAUCUUUAGGAUUUACCAUUUAAAUAUCAGUAGAGUAGACUGCAAUCUUUUUGCCUGGGUGUUUACCAGUAACAGAAUAACAGACAAAAUGGCACCGUCUUUAUUCUGCACUCACGAGAAUUUUCCAACAUUUGUAGGAGCACUGUGCGCAAAUGUGCUACUCACAGACGGUCGCAUGGUACUAACCAUAUUAAGUUCCAGUUGUAAAUAAUUUGAUUGUGGCGAACUUCACCAAACUAGCUUAAUUUACUACUCCCUCCAUCCCAAAAUAAUCAACUUUAUACUAAAGUUAGUACAAAGUUAUACUAAGCUUCCGAUACUUAUUUUAGGACGGAGGGAGUAUGAUGCAAAACCACUUGUUUAUAUGAGUGGUCGCUUUCUGUUUCAGUUGUGGUGGUUGGUUUGGCUGCCAAACUUCAUUGAUCUUGGCAAGUUUGAAUUGUCGUCUUGUAGCUAGAUAGUGAUACUUUAUGCAAUAGAUACACAUUUCUUUUGCACAUUGUAGAAACAAAGAUAAAGACGUCUAAUUUUAAUUUUCUGUGAUGUUGAUACUUGAUACAAGCACAGUUUGUCGCACAUGCCUUAUUGGAUUAUAUACCGAGGAAGGUGCCGUGAUGGUACACAAGUUGAUCGCUCCGUCUAGCCACUUGGACUAUAGUAAGUUUCUGACUCCAACUGCUCAAUGGAUGACGCUCAAGGCACCCUCCAUGGGAUGAUGCACAUUAUAUAUGCACAUAUUUGGUGCCUAGCAUUCUCGACUUGUGCCUCAUCAAGCCAACUGCUCCUGAUUCCUGGAGCGGUAAAAAGAGCGAGCUUUGGGAUUGGCAGCAAUGGCUACGAAACCACUAGUUGGCUCUCCGCUCUCGGCCUCUCCUGCUGCUCAAAGCACCCCUGACCCUGGCUUUCCAACCGGUGUUGCUGCUCAAGGCACCCCCACCCCUGGCCCUUCCAAUGGUGGUGGUGGUACUGGUGCUGCUGCUCCAGUCCCCGACGGUGGCCCUAAAAGUGGCAGCGGGAAUCCAAUUGGGUCACCUCCCGUGUUUCACGGAUAAGUUCUUGUUCUGCUUCGGAUCUCCGACCUUGUCUUGUGCAAGUUUCAAACUGUAAUAUGUUUGUUCCCAGUUCGGUCGAGGGUUCGACCGCCCUCUUGUUCGUUAAGCAUGGAGUUUGAAUGUUUGAUAACCACAACCUUGGUUCUUAUAACUGAUGUUGUUUUAAGUAUGGAUAUAUGGCUUGAAUAGUGAAUACACACAUCUGAUCAAUAGUAUCUAUGGGUCUAAAGCAGUGUAAUUCAGAUGCCAUCGAUCUGUGACAUUAUUCAAGUUGUAUGUCGAGGUUAAACAUGAGAUGCGUGUGGCAAGGUCAAACACAGAAUAUAUGUUGAGGUGAAAUGAA